UACGGAGGGGGCUAGCGUUGUUCGGAAUUACUGGGCGUAAAGCGCGCGUAGGCGGCUUUGUAAGUUAGAGGUGAAAGCCCGGAGCUCAACUCCGGAAUUGCCUUUAAGACUGCAUCGCUAGAAUCAUGGAGAGGUGAGUGGAAUUCCGAGUGUAGAGGUGAAAUUCGUAGAUAUUCGGAAGAACACCAGUGACGAAGGCGACUCACUGGACAUGUAUUGACGCUGAGGUGCGAAAGCGUGGGGAGCAAACAGG
rnacentral:rRNA from 1 species